rnacentral:lncRNA from 1 species
AAUGACUAUGUCCUCCUUUAGGCGGGCUUCACCAGAAAGUUCGUUGUUUACUUGCAGCGUAUUUUGCUGGCAGUGAGCCAAGCGCCAUCUUGUAAUGGCGGGGACUUUCCCAGCCAGAGGCGGUCCCCAACAUCUCCCCCUUUUUUGUUUUAUGGCAGAGAUCGUGCCUGUCUUAGGUCGUCAGUAGCAGAAAACAUCCUUACCCGUCAUCAGACACAAGAUAUCGAUGAUCUCUGUCCUGUCUUAGGUUGUAUAAGAGCCACAAGGAAGGACCACAAAGCCCUCCAAUUAGUACACGAUAUGCACUCAUUAUUGUUGGUGGGAAGCAGAGAGGGAAAAGACAAGGAAGUUCUC